UGGGGAAUAUUGCACAAUGGGGGAAACCCUGAUGCAGCGACGCCGCGUGAACGAAGAAGGUAUUCGUAUCGUAAAGUUCUGUCCUAUGGGAAGAUAAUGACAGUACCAUAGAAGAAAGCUCCGGCUAAAUACGUGCCAGCAGCCGCGGUAAUACGUAUGGAGCGAGCGUUGUCCGGAAUUAUUGGGCGUAAAGGGUACGCAGGCGGUUUAAUAAGUCGAAUGUUAAAGAUCUGGGCUCAACCCCGUAAAGCAUUGGAAACUGAUAAACUUGAGUAGUGGAGAGGAAAGUGGAAUUCCUAGUGUAGUGGUGAAAUACGUAGAUAUUAGGAGGAAUACCAGUAGCGAAGGCGACUUUCUGGACACAAACUGACGCUGAGGUACGAAAGCGUGGGGAGCAAACAGG
rnacentral:rRNA from 1 species